rnacentral:lncRNA from 1 species
AUGCGCGUGCGCAGGAGCCCAAGGAGCCCCACGCGCUUCCUCCUAGCCUUCGCCCGCCGCUGUCUCCGGGCAGUGCCGGGCGAAGCUGGGGCUUGGUGCUCUUCGCUCCCGCGCACGUGGCCUGAGGAACCACCACUGCUUCGGCUUCCUGGGCCGAGGAGCUCUCACCUCCUCCCCAUGCGGGCGGCAGAACCGGUCAUUCCAGGUGGCCAAAGAGGAAACGCGAGGGAAAGGGCCACCCGCCGUUUCCCGCGCCCGGUCGAGGACUCGGGUACACGCGCCGCGCUUGCCCGACUCGCUUUCCUUUUUCUGUUGUUUUUUUGCCCUAACCUGAGGCCGAGCCCUGAGCAGGAAGCUUUCCACGCCCGGAAAUUGGUUUUCUUAGAGUAUCGUUUGGGUCUAAGGUCAGGGAGAGCGCAGUUCUGCCGGGACAAGAGGUGCGCGGUCAGACCGGGAACAGGCAGAAGCGGGCGCGCCCGGGUCCGGCCAUCGGUCGGCCGGCGCCGCCUGGAGAAGGCUCUCAACCCCCGGGGCCCGGCGCCGCUGCUCCAGCAGUGCUGUGGCGCCCUGGAAGAGCGCGCCCGAGGCUCGGGGUGCCGUGGAAGGAGGCGGGUUCUGAGUCGCGUGCACCCUGGCCCCGAGCCCGGGUCAGCGGCUGCUUCAGCGCCCCAGCAUCCUGGUCAGGCCGCGUCUCUGCAGCUUGGUUUGCGCAUCGGAACAAGGGUCAGGGAUGAAGAGCCAGGGCGAGCCGCCGCCCUGGAAACCCUGGAGCAGCGUCCGGCGGUGCUCUUUCUGCUGUCAGAGGUCAGGGUGUUCACCCUGGCGGUCGGAUGCCCUCGGGGAAGCGGGACGCUUGCAGGGAAUGCGGCCUCCUGUAAACCCAGGGCUGGAAUUUUUCCAAGGAACUUUUCCAGGGAAGGGAGUUUUCCAGAACCGUGCGUUACUUUUGCAGGCCGCUCCGCCUGGAAGUCCUUCCUUAUGCUGAGUCCAAGCGCACACCCUGUGCUUCGUGUUGGCUGGUGCGUCUGGCCCUACGCCCAACACCUGGCAUGCUUAUGA